rnacentral:rRNA from 1 species
UACGUAAGGUGCAAGCGUUAUCCGGAAUUAUUGGGCGUAAAGAGCUCGUAGGCGGUUUGUCGCGUCUGCUGUGAAAACUGGAGGCUCAACCUCCAGCCUGCAGUGGGUACGGGCAGACUAGAGUGCGGUAGGGGGAGAUUGGAAUUCCUGGUGUAGCGGUGGAAUGCGCAGAUAUCAGGAGGAACACCGAUGGCGAAGGCAGAUCUCUGGGCCGUAACUGACGCUGAGGAGCGAAAGCAUGGGGAGCGAACAGG